rnacentral:rRNA from 1 species
CAGCCGCCGCGGUAAUACGUAGGGUGCGAGCGUUAAUCGGAAUUACUGGGCGUAAAGCGUGCGCAGGCGGUUAUAUAAGACAGAUGUGAAAUCCCCGGGCUCAACCUGGGACCUGCAUUUGUGACUGUAUAGCUAGAGUACGGUAGAGGGGGAUGGAAUUCCGCGUGUAGCAGUGAAAUGCGUAGAUAUGCGGAGGAACACCGAUGGCGAAGGCAAUCCCCUGGACCUGUACUGACGCUCAUGCACGAAAGCGUGGGGAGCAAUCAGGAUUAGAUACCCGCGUAGUCCCUGUCUCUUAUAC